GAUGAAGAACGUAGCGAAAUGCGAUAAGUAAUGUGAAUUGCAGAAUUCAGUGAAUCAUCGAAUCUUUGAACGCACAUUGCGCCCAUUAGUAUUCUAGUGGGCAUGCCUGUUCGAGCGUCAUUUCAACCCUUAAGCUUAGCUUAGUGUUGGGAGACUGCCUAACCGCAGCUCCUCAAAUACAGUUGGCAGAGUGUAUGUGUGCUCUGAGCGUAGUAAUUUAUUCUAGCUUCUGAAAACUAUAUACUGUAGCCACAAACCUAUUAUUUUUUAAUGGUUGACCUCGGAUCAGGUAGGAAUACCCGCUGAACUUAAGCAUAUCAAUAAGCGGAGGA
rnacentral:misc_RNA from 1 species